rnacentral:rRNA from 1 species
GACGAACGCUGGCGGCGUGCUUAACACAUGCAAGUCGAACGGAAAGGCCCUGCUUUUGUGGGGUGCUCGAUUGGCGAACGGGUGAGUAACACGUGAGUAACCUGCCCUUGACUUUGUGAUAACUUCAGGAAACUGGGGCUAAUACCGGAUAGGAGCUCCUGCUGCAUGUUGUGGGUUGGAAAGUUUCGGCUGUUGGGGAGGGACUCGCGGCUUAUCAGCUUGUUGGUGGGGUAGUGGCUUACCAAGGCUUUGACGGGUAGCCGGCCUGAGAGGGUGACCGGCACCAUUGGGCUACGGGAGGGACCAGGACUGAUACGGGAGCAAACGGCGGGAACCUUACCAAACUGGGCGGAGGCAGGAAGGAGCAACGCCGGGUGGGGAAUCACGGCUUUCGGGUGGUAACACGUUUGCGCGUGACACGACGCGUCGGGAAGGGAAAUGGUCAAGAAGCACCGGCUAACUACGUG